UGCACCAAAUAUAUUCAGGUUACCAAAACUUGACGAUGGGCUCCCUUGAUUGGGGCAGGUUUAAGUUAUGGGCGGGCUGUUCGAAUUUGAACCCGAGGCCCAUUGAGGCACCGCACUGGUUUUAAAGUUUGCUUUCCGAUCCCCUCUCUUUCUCGGCCCCAGUUCACAAAAACCCAAUGCUUUCUCUCCCUUGUCUUAACCUAUAGGUCCAUAUAUCCGAACCCAAAGGGGUGAUAUCUCGGCCACCAAAUGCUUCACCGACUAACAGGAGAUGUUAUCACACUAUUUGUCUGUGACGAUUUUUCCAUCACCCAGCAAACUAUUGAAUAUGUCUACCUCUAGAAGGCCUAACGUCGAGCCACUUUUUAAACCUAGCCUGCAAGUCACUUUAGCCGUCCCGGAAAACCCUAGCUAAAUCUUCUAUAAAUCGCCGUCUCCUCCUUACCUUUUAAGCUUGCCUCGCUUCGCUCUUCAGUUCCUCACCUUCUUGCGCUCAUUCUUAAGCUUAUAUUUCGCCCUAGUUCGUAGGUUUUGUGUUUAUAUAUACACAUAUGAUUAUAUUGGGGAGGGCAAAUGACGAAGAUUCUUGAUUGUUAGAAUGCUCGAACUUUGAUUUUGGGUAUGAUGAUCCAACAAUUUUGAAUAGGAAGAUCUGAUGCCUCUCUUUCUCUAAUAUUCAUUUCAAUUAUCUUUCGCACUGUUUCGCUAUAUUUUUUAGUUCUGGUGUUUUUAAUGUUUUCAUUUUCUUUUCCCUAUAUCAUCUACGAGUAAGGAAACUCAUGAAGCAUACGGUUGUAUUCAUGAAUUCCGACCUCAUAAAAUAGUUGCUGGUCACACAUUUAUAUUAUAAUUCUUUUUGUUAUAGUUGUUGGUAAAUAGCCAAUGAUGAAGAUCUUGAAAUCGACUGAAAUGCAAGUUAAUGGUAAACUUGUAAACUUGUCGAAAAUCAUGAACUAGGACGGUCUGAGGCUCUGUUUUUUGUCCAUACAUUUGCAUAUAUCGUGUUGCGGAGUCUUGAUGCUAACACGGUGAAAUCCACGGGAUCGGUCGGUCGAUGUUCCGCCCAUAUUUCCUCCUAUUAUCAGAAUUUGUUGUAAAUAGAAUCUGGGGUGCUGUAUAACACAAGCCAGUUGUGAAUAUGUAGGUCUUUAGAAUGAUGACCGACCGAUCAAUGCGAAAGCUUUGGGCAUUUAAGAAGGGAUGAUUACUGGGUUAAAAUGGUUCCAUUGUUUCAGUUUUUGGAAAUGUGCAUACAAUUUAUGUGUCAAUUGGUGAAUGGUAGGGAAAGGAUAUCUGCCGUGCGAUAUGUAGAAUUUCAAGAGAGACGCACAUAAGCCAAAUAAUGUCGAGACUUCCACUUAUUGGGUUCCAUGGUAGUAAUUGUUAUUUGAAAUGUAUUUCUCGAAAAUAUAUUCUAUUAUUGGCAUUUGAUUGGGGAAAUGAAUACUACCUUCAGCGGAUGAAAA